rnacentral:rRNA from 1 species
ACACGGGAUGCUUAGUACGGCGAGUGAAGCGGCAAAAGCUCAAAUUUGAAAUCUGGUACCUUCGGUGCCCGAGUUGUAAUUUGGAGAGGGCAACUUUGGGGCCGUUCCUUGUCUAUGUUCCUUGGAACAGGACGUCAUAGAGGGUGAGAAUCCCGUGUGGCGAGGAGUGCGGUUCUUUGUAAAGUGCCUUCGAAGAGUCGAGUUGUUUGGGAAUGCAGCUCUAAGUGGGUGGUAAAUUCCAUCUAAAGCUAAAUAUUGGCGAGAGACCGAUAGCGAACAAGUACAGUGAUGGAAAGAUGAAAAGAACUUUGAAAAGAGAGUGAAAAAGUACGUGAAAUUGUUGAAAGGGAAGGGCAUUUGAUCAGACAUGGUGUUUUGUGCCCUCUGCUCCUUGUGGGUAGGGGAAUCUCGCAUUUCACUGGGCCAGCAUCAGUUUUGGUGGCAGGAUAAAUCCAUAGGAAUGUAGCUUGCCUCGGUAAGUAUUAUAGCCUGUGGGAAUACUGCCAGCUGGGACUGAGGACUGCGACGUAAGUCAAGGAUGCUGGCAUAAUGGUUAUAUGCCGCCCGUCUGAA